rnacentral:lncRNA from 1 species
CGACAGCAAAGAGCCAGGGGGAGCCAGGAAAAGCUCGAAAAUCAGCGUAACGCUGUUGGAGAUGAGAGGGCACAGCACAAUUUUGAGAGCCAAACAAAGGCGGGGCACAGAGCUGUUGCCUCGAGAUGUGUGGCCUCAGAAGGUCUUGUCGAGGAUUCAAGGAGAUUCAAAACCCGUGUCACUGCUGCCAUCUUCCUUGAAUCCCCUUAAAUCCUCAUGGAUUUGCUGACAUUGGGAGCAUCCUGAAAGAGUCCCCAUGCUAGGGUGGCUGCAGUAACAGGUACAAUGAGAAAUGAUGGUGAGUCCCAUAAAUGCCCUCAAUUCGACUUCCUCUGAGUACAACCUGAUAGCAAAGAUGUGCAGGAGGGAAGUUAGAAUGGUCU